CCUACGGGCGGCAGCAGUGGGGAAUAUUGCACAAUGGGGGAAACCCUGAUGCAGCAACGCCGCGUGAAGGUCAGUGCCCUAUGGGCGUUAAACUUCUUUUGUGCGGGAGCAAUAAUGGUCACGUGUGGCCAGACGAGAGUACCGUACGAAUAAGCAUCGGCUCACUCCGUGCCAGCAGCCGCGGUAAUACGUGGGAUGCAAGCGUUAUCCGGAUUUAUUGGGUUUAAAGGGUGCGUAGGCUGUGAGGUAAGUCAGCGGUGAAAUGCCCCCGCUCAACGGGGUGAAGUGCCAUUGAUACUGCCGUGCUGGAAUGCGGAUGCCGUGGGAGGAAUGUGUGGUGUAGCGGUGAAAUGCAUAGAUAUCACACAGAACACCGAUUGCGAAGGCAUCUCACGAAGCCGCGAUUGACGCUGAUGCACGAAAGCGUGGGUAUCAAACAGGAUUAGAUACCCCAGUAGUC
rnacentral:rRNA from 1 species